UCUUAGUUGUGAAAUCUAUUUAGAUUUUCAUAAACUUAAGGUUAAAGAUCACCUUGAAUGCAGUGCAAGUUACCUUAGAUAAGUGAUGCAAAUGCAUAAAUGUAAAAUGUACAGAGACAUGCAUGUGGGCAUUUGUUCUAUAUAUGCAUAUAUGCAUGCAUAUUGUAUUUGUGUGCUCGCUUCAUGCGCACCAUCGAUUAUCUGCAUUUUAGCACAUCUGGCCUGUUAGCAUGCAUGUGGGUGUUCAUGCAUACACACAUAUAAGAACAGAGAAAGAGCGAACUCUAAUCUGUUCAAGCACCUCAACAGUUCAACUGUGCCCUUCAACAGUUGUCAUUUGCUUCUUCAAAUAUCUUUGUCAUUGAAGAGAGAUUAAAAAACGCCUCAGUUGAAUACGAACAAAGGCACAGCAGAGGAGCAACACAGUGCAAAUUGCCUGAUGAUGAGGUGGCUAAUCCCACUGCUAGUUUAAUUGAUACUUAAAGGCCUGCUAUCCGCUCUGAAGUGCUGAGAGGCUACAAACCGCCUUCGCCAAGGUGUGGUAACAGGGUGAGUAACUGCAAGCGAGUUCUCUGUCUGCUAAUGCUCUCUUGCCGUCCUCUGCAGUCUCAGCUCGCUCCUGUUUGCAGCAGUGCAUAAUAGAGCCAUUUUAAUCACUGUCUAUUGUUUUGGGCUUUCUUUUCGCACCCUGGUGAAACCUCAGACCUUGUUCGUCCGCAUUAUACCAGUUGUCUCAGACGGUGUCUUGUCACUCGCAGGGCAGCAUGAGUCCAGAGUGUUGUUGUGUGUUGACAGGCAGAGCUGGGCAGUGUUACCUGUGGAGGUUUGCAUGCACAAAUGAGCAGAAUGGUUUCAGAUGGUGAUGUGGUCGCUCUGGAAGCAUUGCAUGCGAUUCAAGGUGGACAAAAUGCAUCACACUUUUGGCAACAAAAUAAUCAUCACAACGUCCUCACGUUGCGUUCGGAAGUUGCAUCCAAUUUGACGACUGUGUGUAUGAAGCAUGCGGCGAAGGCUGUAUCUCCUGUUCUGUUUGGUUCCUGGCCCCAUAUGCCACUUUCCUAUUUCCUGGCUGUAGACAGCAGGGAGUAGCUCUAUUAUCACCUCCACUGAGCUGUCUUUGAAUGUGAGAGGCAAUUCCAUUUCACUUUGCCACGGGGAGGAGGAGGCAGGCGUACUACCCAGCUCAAAGAAAUUGGCUAAGGGUUCAUUUUUAUAGACGGAGUGCAAGGACAACGCUUUUCCUCUUGUGUUACUGAGAGUUUCAAAUGUACUACACUAAUGCUACGAUUGCUAUGGUGAAAAUUGCUCAAUAUGGGUUUUGACAGGUGCAUGGAUCAAAACUGUUUGUUUGCAUCAGAGAGGUGUCACUGCAUUUAAAUAUUGCACAUCCAGCCAUUUAUUCAUAUAGAUUGCUAUUGAUGCACGGCCAUUCUUUAAUUUUCUUUUCGGUUUGUUUGAACUAAAACAUGGUUUAUGCAAUUAUUUCAACUAGUUCCUUGAUUUUCUGCUUUGGAGGUUUUUAAAUGUACUGCAUUGAUUGCAUGUCACGAUUGCUAUUGUGAAAAUAGUUUAAUAUUGAGAGGUGCACAGAUCAAGACUGUUUGUUUCAUAGGUGACAUUGCACUCAAGUAUUACACACAGAGUCAUUUAUUUAUAUAUUUAUGUUUCUAGCAUUGCUAUCUUAUUGAUGCAUGGUUCAAUUUGGUUUGCUUGAUUCUUCUAUAAUUAGUUUGAAUCAAAACAUUCUUUAUUCAAGUAUUUAAACUAGUUAUGAUAUAUUGUACAAUCAUGGUAUCUAAGUAUUUUACAGGUGCACAAAUCAAGACUGUUUUCAUCAGAGAGGUGCCACUGCAUUCAAAUAUUGCACAUCUAUGUUUUUAGAAUUGCUAUGAUUGAUGCAAAACCAUUUCUAAUUUUCACUUUGGUGUGAUUGAUUAUUCCAUAAUCCAAAUACAUGCUUUAUGCAAGUAUUUGAAGUAGUUUUGCAGUCUUGAUUUUGUGCAUUGCUAUAUGUCAGAAACAUGUAAAACUGCACUUGAAGGACACGUUGCACUCUUGCCAUUGCCACAUGAUGCGCUAUGGUUUCUAUCAGCACAAAUAGUUUUCUUCUACAGUCAGUUUUCUUAGUUAGUAUAGUAAGUUCAAUUAUAACACAGAAAUGUCCUAUUAUGCAUUUGAUUGCUGCUGCUUCGUGCAACCACAGUAAUGUGAAAAUGCACAUAAAAGUUGAACCACAAAAUUGCGUGGUUGUAAUGCAUUGAGUAAACUUUUGUGUCUAAGUUUGCAUGCAUAAAGUAUUGCAUGUAUGCAUGAAGAUUCUUUCAAUUUUUUCUUGCUUUUUUUGUGAUGCAACAAUGCUAUUCUACAUAAGCAUGCAUGAUGCACUGAACAGCAAGUCUGCAGAGACUAUGAAUGCAAAAUCUUUGCCAGCCAUUAAUUGUUUGGUGCAUUACUGUUUUAUCUUAUGUGCAGUUCUGACAACCAGUCAAAGUUUGCAGCACUCAGGACAGCUAGAACUGAACACCUAUAUAUUCUAGGAUCGGUGUAUUACUGGGGAAACUCAGCACAACACAGAGACUAGAAAGGUCUUUCUAUCGUUUAGGGUCUGGGCAAGUAUGUUGAAAUCCUCCGAGGAGGCUGAUGAAAAAUGCAGCUGCUUUGAGCCAUCACAUGUCUUAAGCUAAAAUUGAUGUUUUAUAAAUAAUUUCGACCCCACAAACAUCAAAGGCCACAAUCACAGCGACUCAGUGAUAUUCAUUUGGCAUAAGUCAGUUUCAUUUUUCCGAGCUUUUCAUCAGAAAUGGCUUAAAAAGUAGACCUGCUCUGAAUCUUUCAUGACUUGGGGCUUGCAGGGGACAGCGGCUGAUGUUCUUCACUUGUAGACGUCUGACAGCACGUGGCAGCGUCAACAACAAAAUGGUCACAAACCCCCGUUGCACUUCCUGGGUCAUACGGCCUGAUAAAUAUUUCAAGAGACUAGCGACACACUGAGCGGCUGAUAACAGGUCAGUUGCAGGUGAUAAAAGUCAGUUUUAGUUGGGACAUUAGGCCUUUUCUUCAGUGUGUGAUAUCAUUUAGCCUUGUAUUACACAUCAGUGAUUUAGCUUCGCAUGCCCUGUACAGUAGGUUGACUGACAGUGCGAGAGAUGUGAGAAAUAAAUGUAACUGUGCAUCUUAACAGCUAUGAUGAUUAUCAAACCGCUGAUCUGGCAAACAGCAGGCACGCUUGAGUUUUAUACUACAUCAUGCUAAACUGGUAAAGUACGUCACUGUAAAAAUGAAACGAACACCUAUAGCGUUUUUAAAAUGUCACAGGAGCUCCGAAAACCUAGAAAGCCAAAUUUAUUUCAGUAGUUUGACAUGUUGCUGAGCCAACGCUCUAAUAAACAUUACAGUCUAAGAAAAGGCUGUAAAAAUAGGGCUGUAAUAGAGUUUCUGUAUUGGUUUUUCACAGGUGUUUUAAUCAUAUUUUGAAAUAUGCAUUGCAUUGUGUUUUGUUUUAGAGCUUUAAAGGAAAUGCACAGAUAAUGUCCUGGACGAAAAUGACCAAUGCUUUAAACAAUAUUUCUACUUUUUUUUUUCUUGUAGUUUAAAAUACGUAUCACCCAAGUUGAGUAAAAUUCUAAAAAAAUAUAGAGCAUUCAAUAGUAUAUUUUGAACUGAAUUUUUAGACACCGUGUAAAAAAAAACCUGUGUUUGCAUGAUGUUAAUAUAACA